CGCGCGGACCGUCGUCAAGGGGCCCGGACCAAAGUUGCCCGGACUUUGUGCUCAGCAUUCGUCGUUCGUCGCAUCCCACGGUCGCGCUAUGGACCUUUCGGACCUAACGUCUCUAGAGCUCGAAAUCCUGGAACGGACAGCUGACAUGGGUGCCAUAUCCUACGAUUCGACCCCGAUGCGCGACGUCGACGAACGCAGCGCCGCGGGCACCGACUGUGGCAACGACGAACGGCCGCGCCGCGGUGAAGCGAGUCCGCAAGAGCUGGAAGACGCACCCGACGAUGGAACCGGGCGGCUUGGGAACACGGACUGGUGUCUAUGUGGUUCCUGCGCGCCGAUGGAGACCGUCGUCGAGUGCGUCUGCUGCCGCGAAUACCCGGCCGUCGCACGGAAGCAGCUGGGCCGGCAGGGCUGCGUAACGGGCCACCCGGACUUCGAGGCCCUGUGCCUCAACCCUGAGGUGUUUGCGCGUGAGCAAACUCACCAUGUCUCGAUACCAGACACCCUGAAGCCGGUGGAUGAUCAUCUCGACAUGUUCCUUGUGGUGCCAGCAACACUUGCACCGCUGGUGUGGCAUUCUUUGCACGCUAUGCUGGGAUAGUUUUUUAGGAGUGCCAUGUCUGGACAGCUUAUUCAGAAGCAGGCUGUCGUCGUCGAGAUCCAUGCUUUUUUUUUAACGGAUGAUGUUGCAGUGCCCACAUGGGCACUACAGAUUUGCAGCCUACAGGCAGUGUGCCCUGUGGCUGUGGAGCCGCUUGGGAAAGAAGAAUAGGCGGCCCCUGCCAUCCUGUGUGGUCAAGACAAUUAGGGGCAGGUACCCUGCUGACGUGUAUGCGGGCUACAGGGAUGCAGAAUAAAUUGCGUUGACCUAGAGACCACGCAACCCCCUUCCCUUGUCUCUUCACCCUCCCUGCAUGUGUGUGAAGUCGCUCGUAGCCAUGAACGGAAUCCUCUAAAUCACGUGACCUAUUAUCUACGAUAUCACGUGACCAUAACUAUGAUCACAUGAUCGUAGUCAAACC
rnacentral:misc_RNA from 1 species